rnacentral:rRNA from 1 species
GAACGCGAAGAACCUUACCAGGUCUUGACAUCCCUCUGACCGCUCUAGAGAUAGAGCUUUCCUUCGGGACAGAGGUGACAGGUGGCGCAUGGUUGUCGUCAGCUCGUGUCGUGAGAUGUUGGGUUAAGUCCCGCAACGAGCGCAACCCCUAUUGUUAGUUGCCAUCAUUCAGUUGGGCACUCUAGCGAGACUGCCGGUAAUAAACCGGAGGAAGGUGGGGAUGACGUCAAAUCAUCAUGCCCCUUAUGACCUGGGCUACACACGUGCUACAAUGGCUGGUACAACGAGUCGCAAGCCGGUGACGGCAAGCUAAUCUCUUAAAGCCAGUCUCAGUUCGGAUUGUAGGCUGCAACUCGCCUACAUGAAGUCGGAAUCGCUAGUAAUCGCGGAUCAGCACGCCGCGGUGAAUACGUUCCCGGGUCUUGUACACACC